CCAACCAUAGCUCAGUUGGUAGAGCGGAGGACUGUAGCGUGUGACAUCACAGUAAUCCUUAGGUCGCUGGUUCGAAUCCGGCUGGUUGGA
rfam:Brugia malayi, FR3, WGS project CAPY01000000 data, contig: ctg1511071m